rnacentral:rRNA from 1 species
AAAGAAAAUAACAAUGAUUCCCCUAGUAACUGCGAGUGAAGAGGGACAAGCUCAAAUUUUAAAUCCAUCGGGUUUUACCUGAUCGAGUUGUAAUUUGAAGAGGCGUUUUCUGUGUUUCUGAUCAGUCCAAGUCCUUUGGGAUAAGGCAUCAUGGAGGGUGAGAAUCCCGUCCGGUUGAUCAGAUUCGCUUUACGAUACGCUUUCUAAGAGUCAAGUUGUUUGGGAUUGCAGCUUAAAAUGGGAGGUAAAUUUCUCCUAAGGCUAAAUAACGGCGAGAGACCGAUAGCGAACAAGUACCGUGAGGGAAAGAUGAAAAGAACUUUGAAAAGAGAGUUAAAUAGUACGUGAAAUUGUUGAAAGGGAAACGAUUGAAGCCAGUCGUACCUAUGGGUAAUCAGCCUUUUGGGUGUGAUUUUGUGGAGCGUGAGGAGUUAAACGCCUUCAUGCCUGCGUAUUCGUGCACUUUGGGUGUACUUGCCCGUAUGGUUGGUUAACAUCAAUUUUGGUGGUCAUAAAAUGACUGGAGGAAUGUAGCUUCGAUCUCGUAUUGAAGUGUUAUAGCCUUCGGUAGAUGUGAUGAUCGAGAUUGAGGAUUGCAACGGAUACCCUUCGGGGCUACCUGUCUGGUCUCUGAUCGUUGCUCUGGUGCCGAAAGCUUGCUUACGGUUAUCAAAGUCGAUGGUCAAUAGGUUAGAACGGGUUAAAUU